rnacentral:rRNA from 1 species
UUGACACUGAACAUUGAGCCUUGAUGUGUAGGAUAGGUGGGAGGCUUUGAAGCGUGGACGCCAGUCUGCGUGGAGCCAACCUUGAAAUACCACCCUUUAAUGUUUGAUGUUCUAACGUUGGCCCCUUACCGGGGUUGCGGACAGUGUCUGGUGGGUAGUUUGACUGGGGCGGUCUCCUCCCAAAGCGUAACGGAGGAGCACGAAGGUUAGCUAAUCCUGGUCGGACAUCAGGAGGUUAGUGCAAUGGCAUAAGCUAGCUUGACUGCGAGCGUGACGGCGCGAGCAGGUGCGAAAGCAGGUCAUAGUGAUCCGGUGGUUCUGAAUGGAAGGGCCAUCGCUCAACGGAUAA